rnacentral:misc_RNA from 1 species
CGCUGACAAAUUUAUUCAUGCGCAGUUCACAUGUAUCACCAUUUUGCCGAAAUGAGACUUUAGAAAGUGCAAUACCUCUACUAAAUAUGAAUUCUAGCUCUUAAUACUGAAGCAAGACAGAGGAUACUGCAGGAGGUCAAGAGAUGUAUAAUGGUAUUGGCCUGACUACCCCUCGGGGUAGCGGCACUAAUGGCUUCGUCCAGCGCAACUUGUCAUUUGUCCGCAAACACAAGGACCGGGUAGACUACAAGUCUGAGGAAGAGAUCCGGAAGCUGGACCAGUCGCUGCUGAAGCAGCCAAACCAGGACAUCCUGGAACAUGAGCGCAAGAGAAAAGUGGAACUGAAGUGUAUGGAGAUGCAUGAGCUCAUGGAGGAACAGGGGUAUUCAGCAGAGGAAAUUGAGGGGAAGGUGUCUGUGUUCCGGAAAAUGUUGAUGGAGAAGGAGGGUGUGUCCGAGGUCGCCGUAGACAAGGAUGAGUUUGGACGACCUGUAGCAAAGGAGACACAUCAACUGGCUGAGGCCAACCAUGAGAAGAAUGCCAAACUGCGAGAUGCCUUUGGUCUUGGGGACUAUGUGGAGGGGAGUGCCUUUGACCCUGCCCGCAAGGCAAAAGAGGAAGCUGCCAAAGCCCUUGCCAUGGCACAAAAGAAAUACUCGACUGUAGAAAGCUCUGAUUCCGAAGAAAGAUCUCCGUCCCCUCCUCCGAAAAAGAAGAAGAAGAAAUCUCGCAAAAAACAUAGAGAUGGAUGCAGAGAAGCCAGCAGCUCCCCUGAAAGAAGAGAAAAGAAAAAGAAAUCGAAAAAGCACAAACAUGAUCGCUCUGAAUCUAAGAAAAAUAAGAAAACCAAAAAGCGGCGAAAAAGGGUUGAAGAAAAGAAGAAGCGGAGGAGAAGGAAAGAGUCAUCCAGCUCCAAUUCCGGCUCAGAUUCUGACUCUGAAUCUGACUCAGGAAGUUCCUCCUCGGCAGCUUCUCCCGACAGGAAUGGAAAGACGAGGAAGUCUUCGCAUCACUUACCCUCCCCAUCCCUUGUGGACAGGGCCUGCCCCCCCGAGCACCGACUGUCACCUGCAUCCAGAUCAAAGAGAGGCGAUUCUGAAUCUGAAUUGGACAAAUCACCUCCCAGGUCAGCUAAACAAAAUGGGCAUGCUAACUCCAAGUCUGCUGAGAACAAAACCAGAAAUGGCAAGACAAGCCCAUCACCCAAAAGAAAUCGAAGCAAGUCUUUGAGCUACUCUCCUGCUGAUCGACGACGGGGAAAGUCGUCCCCAUACAAAACAAAAUCUGGCAAAGAAUUAUCAAGAGGUCGGUCUCCAAAGCACGGAGAGAAGAAAAGACAGUCCAGCCGAGGGGCUUCCCGGUCUACAUCCAGGUCACCUUCAAAGCAGAAGAAAAGGUCACCAGUGAAGAGGUCAAGGCGAAGUUCAAGGUCACCUACCCAUUCACGGUCACGGUCGAGAUCAAGAUCCUACUCCAGAUCCAGAAGUCGUUCCAGAAAGAGGGAAAGGAGCUACUCCCGUUCUCGAUCUCACAGUCGAAGACGGUCAUACAGUCGCAGCCUGAGCCAUGAUUCGAGGCGCAGGGAAUCACGCAGCCCCUCGAUUCGGAGAAGGAAAGGGUCACCAAGUCACUUAGAUAAACGCAGGAUAACAAGUGCAAGAAAACGACCAGUCCCCUAUUACAGACCCUCUCCCCCCUCACCAAGCUCUGACGACAGCUAUAGGUCAUACUCUAGGUCAAGGUCAAGGUCGCGUUUCCGGAGUCGUAGUCUGAGUUUAACAAAGCGCUACACUCGGCGGGGGCGGCGGCGGCGUAGCUGGAGCAGCAGUAGUCUUGAUAGUCUAAAACACUGAGAAAUAUCACAAGUUGUACACAUCGGCUUUCUUCUCACAUCCCAAACUUUCGUUCCAAAAUGUCAAAUGCCUACCUUAGCUCUGAAAGAAGGGUCUAGGCAUCUUUAUGAAUGAAUAAAGAACAAACAAGGUCCUGUAACAGCUAGAGGAAUGUCUGUCUGUGAUUCCUCCUUGCUCGGCCAUGCCCUCAGUGUAUAAGUGUAACUUGUGAUAUUUCUUGGCUGACCCAACUUUGUAUGGUGCAAUAAAUACCAGUGCCCAAGCAGCAGGGGUUCCUGUAGUGUGGACAUGCCCACAUGUUUGAAGGUGCCGAAUAUGUCUUGACACUGUACAUACCAUUUCUAGUACGCUGGAGUGCAAAGCAGUUUGACUGAAGACAAGCUAGCUUCUCCAGGAGGCAUGUUGGGUCGUCCAGUGGCAGUGCUGGAGGGAGGAGACUUGAUGACGAUUAUGUGAAUAGUUUAACAUAUCAGAUUUAAGUUAUUGUAUUGACUGGUCUUUCAUUUUACAUGUGUUUAUUUAUAUGCUAUUUAUUGCACAUGUUGUGGCUUUUGCAACAGUUGUUUUAUUUUCAGUUUUACAAAGAUGUUUGUUUUAUGACAACUGCGGUGGACCAAUUAGAGUGCUCUCCCCUUGAUUAGGGUCUGCUGGAAUUAAAUGAAAUGUAACAAAUAAUGUUUAGGUGUAGGGUAAGACUGUUAGUAUAAGUAGCAUACCAUGUUUUGUUUGCGGGUUUCCUAUCUGCCAGUGAAUCAAGGGGAAGUAACUCAUUGAUGACUGUAAACCUCUGUGUACGUGUGAUUAGUAUUCCCUACGAGAUGCUGCCAGUCAUCACAUAUCCAAAUAUAAACUUGACUUUUAUUGCUCAAGGUUUUCAUUUAACUUAUGUUUGAGUUAAGCCAAAGAAAAAGUUAGAAGUAACUGAAACUUUCAUUCCAAGGAUUGGCAUUCCCUUCAUCAUACAGAAAUGGUCAACAUUAGAAAGCCACCCCUCAUGGUGUCUGGCAGCGUCUUGACCAUGUUGUCAUGGUGACACAUUAAUGGCUACUGCCUCACUGCAGGCUGACUUAUGUAAAUAUGCAGAGACUGAAAUAAGUACUAAUGUCCAUCAACAUACUGACAUGUGGAACAGAGGCAGUCUGUGAUCAUUGUCCACAACAGCAGUAUUAAGGCAUUUGUACAUUGUAUGAGAGGAAAUCAUCUGUAUGUUGUCAAGUUUGUUUUAUGGAAACAUGGAACUGGCUCAUUUUAACCGUGAUAUACAUGAGAUUAUGAAGUGGGUUUAAAGAGCAUGAACUGUUAACUCUUUGCAACCUGUGUCUGAACAGUUGAAAAUCCUAUUGCCAUUUUGUUUUUCAAACAAGGACAAUGGUUAAUAUGUGAAUGAACUUGUUUUAGUGUAGAAUCAUGUAGGAAAUGUUUUAAAUGGAUAGAUUUAAUAAACAUGUUUGUGUGGGGCUUUGUAAGAUAUUGAUGACCUGAACUAUCCUGCCCUGAUGCUGGAGUUGAUAUUGCCAUGGCAAGCUUCCAUCUGUAUAGAAAUGUCCAAUCAAUACACAAACAUUAUUAUGUUGUGUAUUGUCACUUGUGCUGAAGCUCAUUUCCUGGCACCAUUGAUAUUAACUGCAGUAGGCCGCAAUGUUGUCAGCUAACAAGGCUGAUGGAUGUCAUUCGAUUAGCCACAAUGUCAGCUAACAAGGAUGAUGGUUGUCAUUCGGUUAGCCACAAUGUCUUUUCAUAGCAGCAAAGAAUUAACGCUUUAAGAAUUAGAGAAAGAUCUGGAGACUCGUGUGAAGGUUCAGAUGAUGAACACCGUGUACCAUGUGAAGGUUCAGGUGAUGUACACUGUGUACCGUGUGAAGGUUCAGGUGAUGUACACUGUGUACCGUGUG